rnacentral:rRNA from 1 species
ACUCGAGCGGCGAACGGGUGAGUAACACGUGAGUAAUCUGCCCCAGGCUCUGGGAUAGCCACCGGAAACGGUGAUUAAUACCGGAUACGACAACCGAUUGCAUGAUCUGGUUGUGGAAAGUUUUUCGGCCUGGGAUGUGCUCGCGGCCUAUCAGCUUGUUGGUGAGGUAAUGGCUCACCAAGGCUUCGACGGGUAGCCGGCCUGAGAGGGUGACCGGCCACACUGGGACUGAGACACGGCCCAGACUCCUACGGGAGGCAGCAGUGGGGAAUAUUGGACAAUGGGCGGAAGCCUGAUCCAGCAACGCCGCGUGAGGGAUGACGGCCUUCGGGUUGUAAACCUCUUUCAGCACAGACGAAGCGCAAGUGACGGUAUGUGCAGAAGAAGGACCGGCCAACUACGUGCCAGCAGCCGCGGUAAUACGUAGGGUCCGAGCGUUGUCCGGAAUUAUUGGGCGUAAAGGGCUCGUAGGCGGUCUGUCGCGUCGGGAGUGAAAACCAGGUGCUUAACACCUGGCCUGCUUUCGAUACGGGCAGACUAGAGGUACUCAGGGGAGAAUGGAAUUCCUGGUGUAGCGGUGAAAUGCGCAGAUAUCAGGAGGAACACCGGUGGCGAAGGCGGUUCUCUGGGAGUAUCCUGACGCUGAGGAGCGAAAGUGUGGGGAGCGAACAGGAUUAGAUACCCUGGUAGUCCACACCGUAAACGUUGGGCGCUAGGUGUGGGACACAUUCCACGUGUUCCGUGCCGCAGCUAACGCAUUAAGCGCCCCGC